rnacentral:ncRNA from 1 species
UUUAACUCAACACAGGAAACCUCACUCGGCCCAGACACGGAAAGGAUUGAUAGAUUGAUAGCUCUUUCUUGAUUCUGUGGGUGGUGGUACAUGGCCAUUCUUAGUUGGUGGAGCGAUUUGUCUGGUUAAUUCCGAUAAGGAACGAGACUCUGGCAUGCUAACUAGUUACCUUGAUAUGUAGUUGUAUGGAUAUCCUAUAGAGCUUAUUUAUCAAUAUAUACAUGCUUAUUCUGUAUGUGUAUAUAUACACAUAUAUAUACACAUACAUUCAUAUAUGUCUUAACUGACAACUGGA